rnacentral:rRNA from 1 species
AGAGUUUGAUCCUGGCUCAGGAUGAACGCUAGCGGCAGGCUUAACACAUGCAAGUCGAGGGGGAACAUGGGAGCUUGCUCCCGCUGACGACCGGCGGGUGCGUAACGCGUAUGCAACCUACCCUUUACUGAGGGAUAGCCCGAAGAAAUUCGGAUUAAUACCCCAUAGUAUUAUUGAGUGGCAUCAUUUGAUAAUAUUAAAGGUUUCGGUAAAAGAUGGGUAUGCGUCCCAUUAGCUAGAUGGAGUGGUAACGGCACCCCAUGGCAACGAUGGGUAGGGGUCCUGAGAGGGAGAUCCCCCACACUGGUACUGAGACACGGACCAGACUCCUACGGGAGGCAGCAGUGAGGAAUAUUGGACAAUGGGCGAGAGCCUGAUCCAGCCAUGCCGCGUGCAGGAAGACGGUCCUAUGGAUUGUAAACUGCUUUUAUACAGGAAGAAACCUCCCCACGUGUGGGGAGCUGACGGUACUGUAAGAAUAAGCACCGGCUAACUCCGUGCCAGCAGCCGCGGUAAUACGGAGGGUGCAAGCGUUAUCCGGAAUCAUUGGGUUUAAAGGGUCCGUAGGCGGACUAAUAAGUCAGAGGUGAAAUCCCACAGCUUAACUGUGGAACUGCCUUUGAUACUGUUAGUCUUGAGUUAUAUGGAAGUAGAUAGAAUGUGUAGUGUAGCGGUGAAAUGCAUAGAUAUUACACGGAAUACCGAUUGCGAAGGCAGUCUACUACGUAUAUACUGACGCUAAGGGACGAAAGCGUGGGGAGCGAACAGGAUUAGAUACCCUGGUAGUCCACGCCGUAAACGAUGGACACUAGUUGUUGGAUUAUUUCAGUCUGUGACUAAGCGAAAGUGAUAAGUGUCCCACCUGGGGCGUACGAUCGCAAGAUUGAAACUCAAAGGAAUUGACGGGGGCCCGCACAAGCGGAGGAACAUGUGGUUUAAUUCGAUGAUACGCGAGGAACCUUACCUGGGCUUAAAUGUAGAUUGCAUAGAGUAGAAAUAUUCUUUUCCUUCGGGACUAUUUACAAGGUGCUGCAUGGUUGUCGUCAGCUCGUGCCGUGAGGUGUCGGGUUAAGUCCCAUAACGAGCGCAACCCCUAUCGUUAGUUGCCAUCGGGUCAUGCCGGGGACUCUAACGAGACUGCCAGUGUAAACUGUGAGGAAGGUGGGGAUGACGUCAAAUCAGCACGGCCCUUAUGCCCAGGGCUACACACGUGUUACAAUGGCCGGUACAGAGGGCAGCUACACAGCGAUGUGAUGCCAAUCCCCAAAGCCGGUCUCAGUUCGGAUCGGAGUCUGCAACUCGACUCCGUGAAGUUGGAUUCGCUAGUAAUCGUAUAUCAGCAAUGAUACGGUGAAUACGUUCCCGGGCCUUGUACACACCGCCCGUCAAGCCAUGGAAGCUGGGGGUACCUGAAGUCUGUAACCGUCACAGGAGCGGCCUAAGGUAAAACUAGUAACUGGGGCUAAGUCGUAACAAGGUAACC